GUAAUACACAAAAGAUAAUCGUUAUUAAUGACGAUACGACAGAAUGGGACGGAGAAAAUGACUUUACGAUGCGAUAUUUCAUUGUUGUUUUCGCCGCUGUUGCUAAAUUAUAUAAUAACACUACAGAUAUGGCCAAUUAGAACGCCGAGACUUUGUUAAGUAUAAUAUUCUUAUUGGAUUAUCAGCUAAUGACUUCUGCACUGUCGCCCGCGUGUUUACGGCCGACGGCGUCGGUCGCGUAAUAACAAUAAAAAAAUUAAAAAAAAACCACCG